rnacentral:lncRNA from 1 species
GUUAUUCUUGAAGUUUCUUUCAUACUCACCAUUUAUCUUCUUCCUCACAAACUUUUCAAACACUUUAUUAACUUGAAAGUCAUAAUACAUCUCAAAAAAUCAAUUAUAGUACCUCUCGUGUUUUUUUAUUAUAAGUUCAAAUUCCUUUUACUCAACUUUCUUUCAGAUAAAUACUCAAAAACACCAUCAACAUAUUUGAUGUUCAAGAACGAGAUUAAUCACAUUUGGGGAGAGCUAAUAAUAUGUUGGCUCAUGAUAAAUAGCAAAGGUAAAUUGUCAGGUUGGAAGCCAUAGAUUUUGGUGGAAAGCUCUACCAAAUCUGAUUUGUAAUCCUUAUUUAUCUUGAAUGAAUUAAAAUAAAUAUAUUUUCAUUCAAAAAAUUUAAAUCUCAUCCAAUUAUAUAUUGAUUUGAUUUUUUAAUUAACAAAAUUGGUUUUUUAUAUAUAAUACAAGAUUAAAUUUUUUCAUGUUUUAUAGAAAGC